CCUACGGGAGGCUGCAGUGGGGAAUAUUGGGCAAUGGGCGCAAGCCUGACCCAGCAACGCCGCGUGAAGGAAGAAGGCUUUCGGGUUGUAAACUUCUUUUCAGGGGGACGAACAAAUGCCGGUACCCCUUGACUAAGCACCGGCUAACUACGUGCCAGCAGCCGCGGUAAUACGUAGGUGGCAAGCGUUAGCCGGCUUUAUUGGGUGUAAAGGGCGUGUAGGGGGGAGCGAAAGUCAGCUGUGAAAACUCAGGGCUGAACCCUGAGCCUGCAUUUGAAACUGUGUUUCUUGAGUGAUGGAGAGGCAAGCGGAAGUCCGUGUGUAGCGGUGAAAUGCGUAGAUAUACGGAGGAACACCAGUGGCGAAGGCGGAUUGCUGGACAGUAACUGACGCUGAGGCGCGAAAGCGUGGGGAGCAAACAGGAUUAGAUACCCCUGUAGUC
rnacentral:rRNA from 1 species